AUCGCCUGCAGACAAUCUAACCCAAAUACAGCCGAGAAACGAAGGUCGUCUCUCAUCAUCCUACGACGGCUACUCGAUGCCAUUUACUCUUCUUCUAACCAUCUCAAACGUUCCGAGUAAAGGCUUUGUUAUUAAUCCCAUUGAUUCACCCCCUCCCCCCCCCCACUAUGUCAUCUUCAAUGCUUUGUUAAGGCGGUAAUUUCAGUAUAAAUAUGUGUUAUGUCAUCUUCAAUGCUUUGCUAGAAACGUGGUAUUUCUCCGUCGCGAUUCAGGGAGCUGCAGAGCGUUUCCGGCGAAACCCGAGGAGAUGGUCAAUGGUCUUGGUGAAGAUAAAACAGUGAUGAUCAAUUUGAGGCAAGAGUCAAAAAAGCCGAUAUCUUUGGAGAAUCUGUUUGAGGUAGCGGCUGAUGAUCUACAGAGUAUGAACGAUAAUCUUCUCUCGAUUGUUGGUGCAGAAAACCCGGUUCUGAUAUCUGCGGCUGAGCAAAUAUCCUGUGCUGGUGG